GCCGAGGUGGCGGAAUUGGCAGACGCGCUAGGCUUAGGACCUAGUCCCAUUUUGGGGUUGAGGGUUCGAAUCCCUCCCUCGGCACAA
rnacentral:tRNA from 1 species